rnacentral:lncRNA from 1 species
GUCCUUUACAACGCCCUUAGGGAGGAAAUAGUAGCAGAUAUUACUACACCCUCAAAUGGAUUGUAGAAGUCCAGUUUACAAUAAUGGUACUUUCAGCACCAUAACGCGCUUUGGUUGUCUUGUCCAGCUCUGAAUGGUCCAAAAUGCUGUACAAUGGAUUAUGAUUUAAAAAUUGAAGAUAAAAGAUUAAGUUUUGAAUAUC